UUGGUGGGCUGGAGCAGUCCCCGGAAAUGUCCCCGUAUUAUACGUGGCAAGACAGGGCAGCAGAGCCUACCGGUUUGACGUCUCAGUCGCGUUGUGCUUGUUUCGUCCAGCAGAAGGGGCUGCUCGCUAUAUCAGCUUCAUUCACUCUUCUUCUACUAACUACUUGCUCGCGAUAGUUUUAGAGAAAACUGCUGUGGAAAACUCGGCCAGAAGCUAGCAAGUGUCAAGUUAACCCACAUCACCACAAACAAACAAAGUUACACUCGUUUGAGAUACUAGCGGGGGAAGAACGGCAGUGGCAGAACAUCAACAGACGAAAAAGCAUAAAGCCUAUAUGAUUGGCCGUGUUGGUAUGCCCUCUGUCACCACAUUCUUCAAGAAGGUAGAGCCUUCCCAAGAAGAAUAUGAUUUAGCUGUGCAGGAGGGUGUCUUUGCAUACCACACUAUGCGACACAAUCAUAGUUACUGAUCUAUGGACUGCACAGCACAACUGACAUGAAAGCUUUAUGAACCAAAGUUUACAUGUGCUAGGACAAAAUGUGAAGCCAUAGUGAGUAACGUGUUAGCACCAUGGGCAAAUAUUUUGGUAACACAGGACCUAGACCAGGUUGAAUUUGUGUCCCUAUCCAUUGAUGCGUCCAAUCAUGGACAUGUAACGCUGCUGCCAGUAGUAGUCAGAUAUUGUAAGAUAUAUGGUGGCAACACAUCUGUGGAAACAAAACUGCAUGAUUUUGUUGAAUUGAAAGGAGAAACAGCAGAGGAGAUUGCAGCUAAGGUCCUGGUGGUCAUCCAAAAAUGUAAACUGCAAAACAAAGUCGUGGCAUUCUCUGCCAACAACACAAAUACCAACUUUGGAGGACUGAAUAGGCUGGGGAGGGUCAAUGUCCAUACCAAAGUUAAAAAUGCUCUGCAGCGGGAGGUUAUUGGCUUAGGUUGUCCUGCCCACAUCAUUCAUAACACAGCCAGAACAGCUUAGGUUGUCCUGCCCACAUCAUUCAUAACACAGCCAGAACAGCUUUGGAUAUAAUCCCCCUUGAUGUUGGGUACCUGCUCACAAAGAUAUUUGGACAUUUUCACCGUCAGAGUAGAAAGACUUUGUGAGUUUGUUGGCCAGGAGUACCAUAACAUUUUAGGACACAGCAAUGUUCGCUGGCUGUCCAUGCUCCCUGCUCUAGAAAGAGUGCUGAAAAGGUAUUUGAAAUCGUUUUUUCUUUCUGAAGACAAAUGCCCUGUUGUCCUGUGAGCAAUGUUCGAAGAUCCACUGACUGAACUUUGUCUGGCCUUUGUCCAUGGAAACUUGACCAUAUUCAGUGACAUGAUCAAGAUGCUUGAAUGCCAGGACCGCUGUGCUGUGGAGUCAGCUGCAAUUCUGAGAAACAUUGAGGCAAAAUUGACUGCAAGAUGUGAUGACAACUUCAUUCCAGUUUUGGUCAGAGGACUUCUGAGAGAGCUAGAGGGAAAUGGAGCAAUGUCUAAAGAGAGCUUUCUCAAAACAUCCCAAUCAUUCUUCACUACGGCUGUGAACUACUUGCAAGCAUGGGGAAAGCACACAGAUCAUCUAAAAUAUUUACAUGGUCUCCUUUUAAAAAGGCAAUCUCAGCGUGAAGAGAUCCAGAAGGCAGCAGGCACACUGCAGGAAAAAUUCCCCAAUGUGACCAUCAAUGAGGAUGCAUUGUUUGAUGAGGUUACUGGCCUGCAAGAGUUCCUAAAGGGGGGGAUCGCUUGAAGAAUGGAAAACGUCUGAGACACCGCUUAGUCAGAGAUGGAGCACGGUGGAGACACCGCUUAGUCAGAGAUGGAGCAUGGUGGUUACCCACUUCAAAGAGAACGACAUCCCACACACUAACCUGGCUAGAUUAGUGUCUGUUGUCAUGUGCUUACCUGGAGGUCAUGUGCUUAACAGUCGAGAGAGUGUUCUCCCAAAUGAAUGAUAUAUGGACAGCAGCAAGAAAUGGGUUCACUGUUCCUACCAUCAAGGCCAUGCUUAUUGUGAAGACAAACUUCAACCUCCCUUGCCAGGAGUUCAUGGAGAAGCUGGCCAAAGACAGAGCAAUCCUGAAGAAGAUACAUUCUUCUGAGAAAUAUAUAGAUUAGAUUGGUAACUACAUAAUAUACUUAUACCAAUCACAUCAUCUUCUUAUUUCUUUAUUAUGUUAAGUAUUUCACAUAUACUAUUGUCUGUUUUUUCAGUUUUGCUCAUGUUUUCUUCUGCUCUCAUUCUACCAGGACCACUGAAUGGCUGUUCAGAUCGGACAGUUCUGUCUUGUCUGUAGUGUUUCUGUAAUAUAGUUGUUUUCUCUGUCUAUCACAAUGUGCCUAUUAGACUAAAUACAUUAAACUGGAAUUGUCCCCCUUUUUUAUUUCA